AUGGCGGAGCCGUCCAAGGUGAUCCACAUCCGGAACGUCGGCCACGAGAUCACCGAGGCCGAUCUGCUCCAGCUGCUGCAGCCGUUCGGCUCGGUAUCCAAGCUCGUCAUGCUGCGUGGCAAGAAUCAGGCCCUUCUCCAGAUGCAAGACAUUCAUUCGUCCGUGAGCGCGCUGCAGUACUACAGUGGUGUCCAACCUAGCGUAAGGGGAAGGCAUGUUUACAUGCAAUUUUCAUCCCAUCAAGAACUUACCACUGACCAGAGCUCUCAUAGCCGGAAUUCUGAUCAGGAAUCAGAACCCAACCGAAUCCUUCUAGUUACCGUCCACCACGUGCUCUAUCCUAUAUCGGUGGAGAUUCUGCAUCAAGUUUUCAAAGCAUAUGGAUAUGUGGAGAAGAUUGUCAAAUUUCAGAAGUCAGCUGGCUUUCAGGCCCUCAUCCAGUAUCAAUCACGUCAUGAGACUGUGGAAGCACUUGCUGCUUUGCAUGGAAGGAACAUAUAUGAUGGUUGCUGCCAGCUAGACAUCCAAUAUUCCAAUCUCUGCGAACUGCAAGUCCAUUUCAACAAUGAAAGAACUAGGGAUUUCACGAAUCCAUCAUUGCCUACAGAACAACGUCCAAGGCCCUCCCAGCAAGGUUUUCCAGAUCCUGGGGGUCUCCAUCCUUUCCAACAACCUGGAGGUCCGUAUACACAGAUGGGAAGAGCUGCAACGGUUGCAGCUGCAUUUGGUGGAACUUUACCGCCUGGAGUGACCGGUACCAAUGAACGGUGCACACUGAUAGUCAGUAAUUUGAACACUGAUAAAACCAACGAGGAUAAGCUUUUCAAUCUCUUCUCUUUAUAUGGAAACAUAGUUCGAAUCAAGGUGCUGCACAACAAACCAGAUCUUGCCCUUGUAGAAAUGGCUGAUGGGUUACAGGCCGAGCUAGCUGUGAACUAUCUAAAGGGGGCCACGCUAUUUGGCAACAAGUUGGAAGUCAACUACUCGAAGUACCCCACCAUAACCCCUGCCCCUGACGCGCAUGACUACAUCAACUCGGGCCUUAACCGCUUCAACAGCAACGUGGUGAAGAACUACCGGCACUGCUGCGCUCCAACCAAGAUGAUCCACGUCUCCGCCCUCGCACAAGACGUCUCCGAGGAAGCGCUCCUCGCCCAUCUGUCUGAGCACGGCUCUGUCGUCGGCACGAAGCUGUUCGAGGUGAACGGCAAGAGGCAGGCCCUCGUCCUGUUUGAGAGUGAAGAGGAGGCGACCGAGGCCCUCGUGUCGAAGCACGCCACCCCGCUGGAGGGGGGCACCAUCCGGAUCUCGUUUUCCCAGAUGCAGAGUCUGUAG
rnacentral:rRNA from 1 species